GCUGGGUCCUUGAUCCACUUUAAGUUGAGUUUUGUACAUGGUGGGAGACAGGGGUUUAAUUUCAUUUUGUUGCAUAUGGAUUUCCAAUUUUCCCAGCACCAUUUGUUGAAGAGGCUAUCUUUUCUCCAAUGUAAAUUUUUGGAUAGGUAAAGAAGAACUCAAAUUAGCACUAUUUGCUGAUGAUAUGAUUCUAUAACUAGAAGACCCAGAAAAUUCCACCACAAAACUUCCAGAACUAGUAAAUGAAUUCAGCAAAGUAGCAGGAUACAAAAUCAACACCCAUAAAUCAAAGGCAUUUCUGUAUAUCAGUGACAAAUCCUCUGAAAGGGAAACAAGGAAAACUACCCCAUUUACAAUAGCAUUAAAAAAUAAAAUAAAAUACUUAGGAAUAAACUUAACAAAAGAGGUAAAAGACCUCCACAAUGAAAACUACAGAAUGCUGAAGAAAGAAAUUAAAGAAGAUCUUAGAAGAUGGAAAGAUCUACCUUGGAUAGGCAGAAUUAAUAUUGUCAAAAUGACCACACUACCGAAAGCACCAUACAGAUUUAAUGCAAUUCCAAUCAAAAUCCCAACAACAUUCCUCAUAGAAAUAGAAAAAGGAGUCAUGAAAUUCAUCUGGAAAAUAAGAGACCCAGAAUAGCUAAAGCAAGUGGCAUCACUAUACUAGAUCUUAAACUAUACUACAGAGCAAUAGUAACAAAAACAGCAUGGUAUUGACACCAAAAUAGACUGGAAAACCAAUGGUACAGAAUAGAGAAAACAGAGACUAACCCACAUAACUUCAGUUAUCUUCUCUGUUCUUAUGAACCUUCCACAUCCCCAGCACACACACAAACAGAACUGUGUCUCUCCCCAUAAGACUAGGGUAUCUUUAUUCUUGAAACAAAGACUUUGAGUGAUUUCAAUAUGCAGGGUACAAAGCUAAAUAGUAGAGGACAAAAACAGGGUUUAUAAUCUGCUCAGGAAUACAUGCAUGAGGGAAAAUUAUCCUUUUACAGGAUGGAAUUUGUGAGUAAUCUGGUUUGUUGUAUUCUUACAAAAAUAAAUGUGGUAGGC
rnacentral:lncRNA from 1 species